AUGAACGCUGGCGGGCGUGCCUUAACCACAUGCAAGUCGGACGAAGAGCGUUGAGCUUGCUUAAUGCUCUGAGUGGCGAAUGGGUGCGUAACACGUAGGUGACCUGCCCCUGGAUGGGGAAUAUAACGCGCCGAAAAGGCGCGCUAAUACCGCAUGUGCUCUUUAAGCGUCGCAAGUUAAGAGGUAAAGCAGUAAUGCGUCCGGGGAGGGGCCUGCGGCCCAUCAGCUAGUUGGUGAGGUAACAGCUUACCGAGGCGAAGACGGGUAGGGGGGCCUGAGAGGGUGGGUCCCCCACACUGGCACUGACACACGGGCCAGACUCCCUACGGGAGGCAGCAGUGAGGAAUAUUGCGCAAUGGGCGAAAAGCCAGACGCAGCAACGCCGCGUGGAGGACGAAGGCCUUCGGGUUCGUAAAACUCCUUUUUCUUUCUGCCGGAAGAGAAAGGACGGUACGGCAGGAAUCAGCCUCGGCUAACUACGUGCCAGCCAGCCGCGGUAUAAAACGUAGGAGGCGAGCGUUAUUCCGGAUUUACUGGGCGUAAAGCGGUGUUGCAGGUGGCCUGACAAGGUCGGGCGUGAAAUCUCCUGGCUUAACUGGGAGAGGUCCGGUCCGAAAACCGUUGGGCUUGAGCGCCGGAGAGGGGACGUUGGAAUUCCCGGUGUAGUGGUGAAAAUGCGUAGAGAAUCGGGAAGGAACACCAGUGGGCGCAGGCGGCGUCCCUGGCCGGCUGCUGGACGCCUUCAGACACGAAAGCUUGGGGGAGCCGAACGGGAUUAGAAACCCCCGGUAGUCCAAGCUGUAAAACGAUGGGACACUAGGUGUGGGAGGUAUGAAACCCCUUCCGUGCCGAAGCCAACGCGUUAAGUGUCCCGCCUGGGGACUACGGCCGCAAGGUUUAAAACUCAAAGGAAUUGACGGGGGGCCCGCACAAGCAGCGGAGCGUGUGGUUUAAUUCGAGGCUACACGAAGAACCUUACCAUGGGCUUGACAGGUGCGUGGUAGGGAGGGAAACCGGAACCGACCCGCAAGGAAGCGCACACAGGUGCUGGCAUGGCUGUCGUCAGCUCGUGCCGUGAGGUGUUAGGUUAAGUCCUGUAGCGGAGCGCAAACCCCCUGCCAUCAGUUACAUGUGUCUGGUGGGACUGACCCGGGGCAACUGGGGAGGAAGGGUGGGAUGAUGUCAAGUCCAGCGUGGCCUUUAUGCCCUGGGCGACAACACACGCUACAAUGGCCGGUACAAUGGGAAGCCAACCCGCGAGGAGGGGCAGCGAAUCUCAACAAAGCCGGUCUCAGUUCGGAUUGGGGGCUGCAACCCCGCCCCCAUGAAGUCGGAGGUUGCUAGUAACCGCGCAUCAGCCAUGGUGCGGUGAGUUGCGUUCCCGGGCCUUGUACACACCGCCCCGUCACGUCAUGGGAGCUGGCACAACCUGAAAGCCGGUACGGCCAAACCGCAAGGAGGCAGCCGUCGAAGGUGGGGCUGGUGACUGGGACG
rnacentral:rRNA from 1 species